CAACGAGUAUCCCGCAAUGGACGCAAGUCUGACGGAGCGACGCCGCGUGUGGGAGGAAGUCCUUCGGGGUGUAAACCACUGUCAGGAGGGAAGAACGGCGCCGGUUCGAACAGUUCCGGCGAUUGACGGUACCUCCAAAGGAAGCGCCGGCUAACUCCGUGCCAGCAGCCGCGGUAAGACGGAGGGCGCAAGCGUUGUUCGGAAUUACUGGGCGUAAAGCGCGGGCAGGCGGUCUGUUAAGUCGUUUGUGAAAAUCCGGGGCUCAACCCCGGAAAUGCAUACGAUACUGGCAGGCUGGAGACUGGUAGGGGAGCGGGGAAUUCCUAGUGUAGCGGUGAAAUGCGCAGAUAUUAGGAGGAACACCGGUGGCGAAGGCGCCGCUCUGGGCCGAAACUGACGCUGAGGUGCGAAAGCCAGGGGAGCAAACGGGAUUAGAUACCCAUGUAGUCCCUGAGCGGGCUGGCAAGGCGCAU
rnacentral:rRNA from 1 species